UAAUAAGUGUUUUAUGGCACUUUUUAAAUCCAUAUCCACCUUGUGUGCAAUGUCAGUCGAUCUUCUUCAUGGAGAUCGACCAAACAUCAACCUUUAUCUUUUAACUCUUUGUCUGAAAAAUAUCAUGAAUAAACAAUUCAAAAUA
rnacentral:misc_RNA from 1 species